UGGAGGGGCCCAGGAAGGCAGGACCCUAAAAGGAUGGGGGCGGUUAGGAGACUGGGCUACGUUCCAGCGCAAAGGUGGGGCGCAAGCCAGCGGCGGGAGCGGCGCUCGGGUGCUGGGUGGCAGCACUUGUCCUACCUUUGCCCAGGCGAAGGGGCGACCAGACCCGGCGAGGAGCGGGAGGAGCGGCCGGAAACCCGCGAGCGCAGCAGCCCUGGGGUAGGCUGGACGGCGGCCUCCAGAAUCUCAGCGUCGCCGCCUGCCCCCUCCCUCUUUACUUGCCUCCGCCCCCUCUCCCCUCCUCCCCAGCCCUCACGUCCUGAAACGCGGCGGGCGCCUUUAAGAGGGAGCUUUGGUUACCCUGGGGGCGGAAACCCCUCGGCAGAUUGGGAGGCGCGGCGCUCGCCCGCGAUGCUCCUCACUUUCUGCUCCAGCUCCCGCCGCCGCCGCCGCCGCCGCCUGGGUCGCCACACCGCCUCCUCCUCUUCCUCCUCCUCCUCUGCCUCGAAGCGUCGUUUUCUGCAGCGGAGAGAAGUGCUAUGUCAGGAAAGUUCCGGGAGGGACUGGAGGGGGCCAUGCUCCCUGGGCUCUGCUGCAGGCGCCCGCGCGCAGCCCUUUGUAUGAGGCGUGAAAUGGACCUCGUUUGCCCAAGUCCGGAAGCUCCCCGGGAGCUCUAACAGUUCUAAGAGCUUGCCUCUUACAUAGACAGACUGGGAGGAAGGCAGAGAGAGAGAGGGAGACACAGAAUCCCAAGCAGGCUCCAGGCUCUGAGCUGUCAUCCCAGAGCCCGACGCGGGGCUCAAACUCGUGAAUGGGAAAAGGUCUCCUUUGGAAGAUGGAACUCUGUCUGUUUUCCAGAAUGUGUUUCCAAGUCCAUCAGUGAAACAUGAUAC